rnacentral:lncRNA from 1 species
CUGCAAAGAUCCUAUUUCCAAAUAAGGUCACUUUGCAGUAAGUAAAGCAACAGUGAGCCUGCCGGGCAGACGGGGUCCUUGAGGAGACUGAGGAGCUGCAGAGAUAGAUCAAGGCAUAGGCACAUGGGGAGAGAAAACAGGCUGGGAUAACUCGUAAUUUCCCACCCAUAAUCCUAUUUGCCAGGCCCAGCUGGAAGCCCACAUCACCUGGAAAAAGCAGCCUACAGGUGUUGAUCCCUACUGCCAAGAAACCUUGGCCAUUCACUGGGAUCAACAGUGGCAAGAAGAAAACAACCGAGAAAAAGGGAAGAGGAAUUCCUUUACUUAUCGUAGGUUUUGCAUCGGUCUAAGGGAUUGAGUAUAUUCCCAUGGACAUCCCACACAACAGUAGCAGAGAAGUCUGGAGGCAGAAAUAUUAGAUCAGGUGAGACAAGGUUCUAUCAGGUUAUACCUCCAUAUAGUUACCAUAGCAACAACUGGUAUAAAAAGGUAG